rnacentral:rRNA from 1 species
UACGAAGGGGGCUAGCGUUGUUCGGAUUUACUGGGCGUAAAGCGCACGUAGGCGGAUCGUUAAGUUGGGGGUGAAAUCCCAGGGCUCAACCCUGGAACUGCCUUCAAUACUGGCGAUCUAGAGUCCGGAAGAGGUGAGUGGAACUCCUAGUGUAGAGGUGGAAUUCGUAGAUAUUAGGAAGAACACCAGUGGCGAAGGCGGCUCACUGGUCCGGUACUGACGCUGAGGUGCGAAAGCGUGGGGAGCAAACAGG